rnacentral:misc_RNA from 1 species
GAUGAAGAACGCAGCGAAAUGCGAUAAGUAAUGUGAAUUGCAGAAUUCAGUGAAUCAUCGAAUCUUUGAACGCACAUUGCGCCCCUUGGUAUUCCGAGGGGCAUGCCUGUUCGAGCGUCAUUAUAACCCUUCAAGCUCAGCUUGGUGUUGGGGCCUGCUGUAACUGGUAGCCCUUAAAAUCAGUGGCAGUGCUAUUAGGCUCUAAGCGUAGUAAUUCUUCUCGCUAUAGUGUGUAGUGAGCGCUUGCCAGAACCCCAAACUUUUAUAUGAUUGACCUCGGAUCGGGUAGGGAUACCCGCUGAACUUAAGCAUAUCAAUAAGCGGAGGA